CCUACGGGUGGCUGCAGUCGAGAAUCAUUCACAAUGGUGGAAACACUGAUGGUGCGACGCCGCGUGAGGGAAUGAAGGUCAUCGGAUCGUAAACCCCUGUCAUGUGGGAGCAAAUUAAAAAGAUCGUACCACAAGAGGUAGAGACGGCUAACUCUGUCCCAGCAGCCGCGGUAAUACAGAGGUCUCAAGCGUUGUUCGGCAUCACUGGGCGUAGAGCGUGCGGAGGCUGUUUCGUAAGUCGUGUGUGAAAGGCGCGAGCUCAACCCGCGGACUGCACAUGAUACUGCGAGACUAGAGUAAUGGAGGGGGAACCGGAAUUCCCGGUGUAGCAGUGAAAUGCGUAGAUAUUGAGAGGAACACGCGUGGCGAAGGCGGGUUCCUGGACAUUAACUGACGCUGAGGCACGAAGGCCAGGGGAGCGAAAGGGAUUAGAUACCCGAGUAGUC
rnacentral:rRNA from 1 species